GGAGGAAUGGCCGAGUGGUUGAAGGCGGCGGUCUUGAAAACCGUUAGAGGCGGAAGUCUCUCGUGGGUUCGAAUCCUACUUCCUCCGCCA
rnacentral:tRNA from 1 species